rnacentral:rRNA from 1 species
UUUCAGCAGGCCCCGGUAAUUCCAGCUCCAAUAGCGUAUAUUAAAGUUGUUGUGGUUAAAAAGCUCGUAGUUGAACCUUGGGCCUGGCUGGCCGGUCCGCCUCACCGCGUGCACUGGUCCGGCCGGGCCUUUCCCUCUGCGGAACCCCAUGCCCUUCACUGGGUGUGGCGGGGAAACAGGACUUUUACUUUGAAAAAAUUAGAGUGCUCAAGGCAGGCCUAUGCUCGAAUACAUUAGCAUGGAAUAAUAGAAUAGGACGUGUGGUUCUAUUUUGUUGGUUUCUAGGACCGCCGUAAUGAUUAAUAGGGACAGUCGGGGGCAUCAGUAUUCAAUUGUCAGAGGUGAAAUUCUUGGAUUUAUUGAAGACUAACUACUGCGAAAGCAUUUGCCAAGGAUGUUUUCAUUAAUCAGGAACGAAAGUUAGGGGAUCGAAGACGAUCAGAUACCGUCGUAGUCUUAACCAUAAACUAUGCCGACUAGGGAUCGGACGAUGUUACAUUUUUGACGCGUUCGGCACCUUACGAGAAAUCAAAGUGCUUGGGCUCCAGGGGGAGUAUGGUCGCAAGGCUGAAACUUAAAGAAAUUGACGGAAGGGCACCACCAGGGGUGGAGCCUGCGGCUUAAUUUGUCCCCCACCCGGGGAA